ensembl:snRNA U6 U6 spliceosomal RNA
GUGCCCACUUUGACAGCACAUAAACUAAAAUUGGAACCAUACCAAGAAGAUGAGUGUGGACCCUGAGUGCAGAUGACAUGCAAGUUUGUGAAGCGUUUCCUAUUUUU